GCCAGGUAUGGUGGUGCACACCUGUAGUCCCAGCUACUUGGGAGGCUGAGGUGGGAGCAUUGCUUGAGCCCAGGAAUUCAAGGUUACAGAAAACUAUGAUUGCACCACUGCACUCCAGCCUGGGCAACAGAGUAAGACCCCAUCUCUU
rfam:Gorilla gorilla gorilla genomic chromosome, chr7, whole genome shotgun sequence